CACAACUUCUCUGAACCUCUGUUUUCUCACCUCUGAAAAAGUGGGUUAAAAUUCUGAUUUUCUAAAAUUUGUUUUGAUACUAGGGUUUCAACCUAGUAUCGAGCCAUUCCCCCCAGCACUUAUUUUUAAUUUUGAGACAGAGUCUCAUUAAGUUUCUGAGGGCCUUACUAAAUUACUGAGGCUGGUCUCAAACUUAUGAUCCUCCUGUCUCAGCUAAGUCACUAGGAUUACAGGCUUACACCACCACACUUAGCUUAGAGUUUUGAUCUCUAACCCAACUGUAAACUCUUUGAGGAAACACACUGUAUGAUUUAUGAUCAGUUUAGCACAUGGUAAGUCAUCAAAGUAUUAAAUGAGUGAGCACAGAAUAACUCUUGGAGCUGGGACUGUAGGGUUCUAGUUCCAGUGGGAGCUCACUGGACUGAAGGUUGUAGCAUUGGCUUUUUCUCCUUUUAUUCUCCCCUAUGUUAGUGAAAAAAAACAUGUGAAGUGUAUUUAUUUUUUUUUCUAACUUCCCUACUGAUCUUAUGUAGCACGAUGUGCUAUGUACUGUUUUGAGAGUUUUACAAAUAUUAACUUACAAAAUACAAUCAUCAUAGGAAUAGGGAGUACUAUUAGGCCUAUUUUACAGGUAAGUUUAUCAAGGGAGAGAAGGGUUAGGACCCUUCCCCAAGGACACAGAGUUAAUAAUUGGGGAUCUGGAAUUGGAACCUCAGCAGUCCAUUUCUAGAAUUCACUUUCUUUCCAUUUUGUUAUACAAAAUUGAAACAUUUAAUGAUAAUGUUAACAUCUUUAGAAUAUUAAAAUAGGAAAUGUUAGAGUGGAAAUAAAAUAUCUAAAUUUAGAACAGCAGGUAGUUUGAAAAAUUACAACCCCUAGGUUGGAAAUAAACAGUGAAACAUGCUAUCUUACUAUCUACAAUUCAUGCCUGUUGCAUUUUCACACCAGUAUCAUCCAUAGUAAUGCUAUUUAGUCAGAACUUGUUUUUAAAACCAUAUUGAGUUUUAUGUUCUUAUUUUACACAUACAUAUUAAAUCUAUGAACAUAUUUUCUUCAUAUCUUAUGACGUAAAAUAAUCAUAUGCUAAUUAAGGUUACAGUCAAGCAGUAUAAAAGGAUUUUCCUUGCUUUGGUAAAACAAUGUGUCAUUGAAAUAAAAUAGAUGAAGGUCAGCCUUUGUGACCUCAGGUUUUUCUGGCAAAGGCUUUGUUGCUUUGUGCUAUACCUUGGCUCUGCAGUGUUUGUCUGAGAAGAUACUUGAGAUACAUAGCUUUGGACCGGGUAUAAGUUAUAGCUCUGUUUUGCUGGUAGCUCAGAUUGACACUGAAUCUUUAUUCCAAAUCAAAUAUCUUUUUCCUUCUUUCCUUUCUUUCUUUGUGUGUGUUGUACUGUGGACUGAAUCCAGAACCUUGUACUAGUAGGCAAGUGCUCUAUCACUGAGCUUAUAUCCCCAGACCUUUUUAUUUUAUUUUAAGACAGGUUCUCUCUGAGUUGCCAAGGCUGAUCUCCAACUUGUGAGAUCUCCUGCCUCCUACUCCCAAGUGGAUAGGAUUACAGGCAUGCAUCACUGUGUCCUGCUCAGUUUUUCUUUCUUAUGCAGCUA
rnacentral:lncRNA from 1 species